CUCUUGCCGGGAAAACUGUAAACUGAUUGUUAAAUACUUUAUGCUGCUGCCGCGCCGCAAUAACCAACAAAUUAAAAGCAAAUUUACUUAAUGUAUUGCAUCAAUAAAAAGUUCGGGCAAAGUGCUGUGGUCGCAUUAAGAAUGAAUGUGCAUGUGGGAAAAAUUGAAUUUAAUUGUUUGCACUCCAAUUAGUGACUGUAAUAACUGCGAGUUUCGUGUUCGCAGUUUGUGACUCGCAAAGACAAUUAUCGCUUCCCUAUGCCUGCUGCUGGUGUGCGAAUAAAACAAUUAAUUUAUAUGAUGGGGGACUGACAUGUUUUCUCGAGGCAGCCGCCCUGCAAUGUCAGCACGUGUGUGUCCUGUCAACGAUUGCCAUUGGCGAAAGGAAGGAAAGGAAGCUGAAAGUUGAGCAGGACUUGGCUAUCUGGGACACAGAUUAUGGCCCAAAUCAAUCGAUCGAUCGGAUCAUUACAUUUGAUUGCGCGGCAAGAGCAGGGGAAAUCUUUCGGCAACCAAACGAGGCGCAGUUUAAUUUACUGUAAAACAUUUUUCCUCUCAAAGGAAUUCAUUUUGUUGAGGCUUCCACGAAGCUUU